UGCAUCCUAACGUGAGCCAGGGUUGCCAAGGAGGGUGUGCUACAUGUUCUGACUACAACGGAUGCCUGUCAUGUAAGCCCAGGCUCUUUUUUGUUCUGGAGAGGAUUGGCAUGAAACAGAUCGGAGUAUGUCUUUCCUCGUGUCCAAGCGGAUACUAUGGGACACGGUAUCCCGACAUUAAUAAGUGUGCAAAAUGUAAAGCUGACUGUGAUACCUGCUUCACCAGAAACUUCUGCACAAAGUGUAAAAGUGGGUUUUACUUAUACAGUGGAAAGUGCCUUGAAAAGUGCCCCGAUGGGCUGGAAGCCAACAAUCACACGAUGGAGUGCACUAGCAUCGUGCACUGUGAAGCUAGUGAGUGGAGUCCAUGGAGCCCUUGCACAAAGAAAGGAAAAACAUGUGGUUUCAAAAGAGGAAAUGAAGUAAGGGUCAGAGAGAUCGUACAGCAUCCGUCAGCAAAGGGCAAUCCUUGCCCAGCUACAAGCGAGAGCAGAAAAUGUAUUGUACAAAGAAAGAGAUGUCAGAAGGAAGGAAAA